rnacentral:rRNA from 1 species
CGUAUAUUAAAGUUGUUGCAGUUAAAAAGCUCGUAGUUGGAUUUGUGGCGGUCGCAUGCGNCCCGGCAUUCGUGUCGGUGUUUGCUCGCGUCGCCAUCCUUGGGUGGAACCUGUGUGGCAUUAGGUUGUCGUGCAGGGGAUGCCCGUCAUUUACUGUGAAAAAAUUAGAGUGUUCAAAGCAGGCUUAUGCCGUUGAAUAUAUUAGCAUGGAAUAAUAAGAUAGGACCUUGGUACUAUUUUGUUGGUUUGCGCACCAAGGUAAUGAUUAAUAGGGACAGUUGGGGG